CACCUCCCUUACACCGAGAAGACAUCCGUGCAAAUCGGGUCACCCUG
rnacentral:tRNA from 2 species